GGGCCCGCACAAGCGGUGGAGUAUGUGGUUUAAUUCGAUGCAACGCGAAGAACCUUACCAGGGUUUGACAUCCUGCGAAUCUCUUGGAAACGAGAGAGUGCCUUCGGGAACGCAGUGACAGGUGGUGCAUGGCUGUCGUCAGCUCGUGUCGUGAGAUGUUGGGUUAAGUCCCGCAACGAGCGCAACCCACGUCUUUAGUUGCCAGCAUUUAGUUGGGCACUCUAGAGAGACUGCCGGUGAUAAACCGGAGGAAGGUGUGGAUGACGUCAAGUCAUCAUGCCCCUUACAUCCUGGGCUACACACGUGCUACAAUGGUAUCUACAACAGGAAGCAAGACUGCGAAGUUAAGCAAA
rnacentral:rRNA from 1 species